AAUAGGAAGAAGGUUCGGUGAUACCACGUGAAAGCUAUAUUUUGGUGGGCAACUAUUUUUUUUGUUAUUCCCACGCUAGCACCGCGUGUUUUAUUUCGGCCCACGCUGUUGGGCCCACUAGGCAGUGACUAUGGGCCAAAGGAGCUUGGCGCUAGUGGACAAAAAGUUUCACCAAGUCUAGGUCUUCCAUGUCCGGCCAUCUCACUUUCCCCCAUCUCUCCAGAUCCAGCGCCGCCGCCUCUCCUUCUCUUCUCCCCUUCCGUCACAAAUCAAGCACCGCCGGUUGUGAUUCCGCUGCAUGCCAACCUCUUUCUCUCUGAAGGUCGUCGCCCCUCGUCCCUACCCCUUCCUCGCGCACCGACAGAUAUUGGCACCGGCACACCAUAGGCACUGCAAGGUGAGCCCAUGCGGCAUGGGACAAGAGGAAACAUGUGGCUACUCGGUUCCAUGGUGUAUAGGGAGAUUGAGCGACGGCGGUGAGCAGGGACUUGGGCUAGCGCCGAUGAGCAGGGAACAACAGCAGCGGCGCCUGCAAGCACCAUCCUCCAUUGACAAAUCUCCCUCUAUUGAAGGUGUAUACCCAUGCUCAAUAACUUGCAAGUUGCUGGUGAUUACUUAUUGGUUACUGGAACUGAUGAAUUUUGAUGAAUCUAGGUACUUAUGACAUUUGUUUUCUGGAUAUGUUGCUACAUGUUUCCUAUCCGAAUUAAUGUUGAUGAUUUUUGGUGCGUAUAACAGUACAUACUCCCUCUGUAAACUAAUAUAGGACGCUUUAGAUCACUAUAAGGAGUACAUGAACAUGAGGAGUGUUACUUCUACUUCCAUUGAUGUCUCCCUGAAUCAGGCAGAACUUUUUAUCAAGAAAGAGAGAGGCAAAAAAUCAGAACGAAAAUAAAUUACAUGCCCAGUGAGUCACUAGCCAAUAACCAUGUGUACUUCCAUAUUGCACAAAUAGGGACAAAAAAAUGAUCUGCAAUUAAUCAUCUAGGCAAUCAGGUUAACACGUUGGUACUAUUUUUCUUUUUCAUCCAAAACAGGUCCAUGAUGUACUGAGCUUCCUAAACAGCAGUAGACAAGCAUAAGAAUCCUAGUACUAAUUAACAUGCUCAGUGCAAAGAUAGUGAUAGUGUUGGCAAACAAAUCAUGAGAAUACUGAACAAGAUUUUUUGUUAGUUCAACAAGUUUAGUGUUUAGGUAACAUGUUUUGUAGAGUGUUUUUGGAAUUGUAAAUGGUGUCUGUCUCAUGGCAUAAUAUCCUGGAUUUAUCAGAACUACUAUGCAGCUCCUAUGCCAUCAACUACUCAUUGAAAGGAAUUCAGACAGAAAGCAAUUAUUAACAGCUGCAUAUUUGGAAAACAAUAGCAGUUGCAAGGUGUAUGUCGGUAUUGGCACACUCAUGCAUACCAUUAUUUCUUAAGUAGCUCAAUGCGGCAAGACCAAGUUUGUCAUGAGUUUGCCAGAGAUAAUUUUCAUAUUCAUAUAAAUAAUUUGUUAGUUAUUUAUGGUCUUUUCAAAGAGUCGCUAUUCUCUAGAUAUGUCUUGAAUUAAUUUCUGCAUUUUUUAGUUAUGCAUGGCCUUCUUCACAAAUAUUUGAACUUACAUUGGCUCUUGAAGCUUGGGGAUCUUACGACGACCAAUAUCUGCGGCUAAUGAACAAAUUAUAAAUGACUGCUCUUCAGGGAAGCCACAUGGAUAAUUGGCUCUCUUCAAUGGGUCUACUACUGUGUUAUUACCGGCAAGACAUCAUUGCACCGUCCUCAUCCAAGAACUUCAUAUUCAAUCUCAUGUUCAUAUUUUGGAAACUAAUCAAGAACCGCCAGCUUUGUGUGCGCAGCAACACUCAGAUGAUCACAAUCUCACUUGGAUGCUUCUGCCCCAGAUUUGGAGCUUAACGCUGCAAAGAUGUUUUCUAUCCAGUGCAUCUCGAACUUAACUCACUCGCUUGUCCCUCCACGGCAGCCAACCUCUUGAUCCUUGCUUUUCUGGGUCUUGAAGUCUAUCGAGCAUAGAUAACAUGUUGUUGCAAGUUAUUUGCAGUAGCAGAUACUUAGCCUGACCAACAAUGCUUGUACAUGCUGAUUUAGGUAUUCUGCUAGCUGUAGAAAUUUUAGAUGUGGUGUAUUUUUUUUAAUUCUGGCUUGAAAUCAACCAUGAGUCCGAUGUAUGUGUCAUUGUAUGUUGAAUUUUGGCUACAAUUUAUAAAUUGGAAUUAUGGCUCGGGAUUGAAUUGUUUGAAUUAUGGCUGGUAUGAAUUUAAAUUCAAGUUGCAUAUUUUUAUAUGGCAGAUAAAAAUAUGAUGUAUCCCUAGGGUAUUAUUUGAACAUAUGGGGGAAAUAGCUGUAGGGCAAGUUGUGACGUGGCAUAAUUCAAAAGGACCCCACCAUCUCUCCCUAGAGCCAAACAUGCUUGUAGGUGAACUACCUUUCCACGUUGGACAAGCAGCCAGGUUGAAUUAUUUCCCUACAGCUUACGGCUCUAGGUAAAGAAAUGGUUCCCAAGAGCUUGACAAGGGCACUCUAGGGAAAGAGCUCCUUACCGACUAUUCUUCACCUAGGGCAAGCUCUAGGUAAAGCCUUUAGCUAUGGUUUUUUGCCUUUUACCUUAGGAUAUAUGGCUCUAGGUAAAAUCGUAGUUUCUAGUAGUGUAUAGAUGCUAUCCUGCUCAAAUCAUUUUGCAAAGUAAAAUAUGUUACUUAGUUCAUUUGAAUCUCACUACUUCAAUGUUCUAAACUUCUAGUCGA